rnacentral:tRNA from 1 species
GCCUGGGUGGCUCAGUCGGUUAAGUGUCUGACUUCGGCUCAGGAUCUCACAGUUCGUGGGUUUGAGCCCCACAUUGGGUU